rnacentral:misc_RNA from 1 species
GUAGGUGAACCUGCGGAAGGAUCAUUAACACGUAUCCAAACGUAAACCCCCCCGUGAACAUUAACACUCGCUCUCCUUGUACUGUACUGUGAUGGUUCGUUCUUUUAAACGUAUUUACGGAGCAUCACUGGGGCAAGGAUCAAUACAAGAAGCAGUCCGCAAGUACUAGGCUUGGUUGCCCCUGUGGCUUUGUCUGCGGGAAGUGUGAAAGUGGCUUCUGCAGGUGGGCAAGGUGAUAGUGGGAUAUCUG